GAACGACGCUGGCGGCAUGCCUAACACGAUGCAAGUCGAACGAGACCUUCGGGUCUAGUGGCGCACGGGUGCGUAACGCGUGGGAAUCUGCCCUUGGUUCGGAAUAACAGCGAGAAAUUGCUGCUAAUACCGGAUAAUGACGUAAGUCCAAAGAUUUAUCGCCAAGGGAUGAGCCCGCGUAGGAUUAGCUAGUUGGUGUGGUAAAGGCGCACCAAGGCGACGAUCCUUAGCUGGUCUGAGAGGAUGAUCAGCCACACUGGGACUGAGACACGGCCCAGACUCCUACGGGAGGCAGCAGUGGGGAAUAUUGGACAAUGGGCGAAAGCCUGAUCCAGCAAUGCCGCGUGAGUGAUGAAGGCCUUAGGGUUGUAAAGCUCUUUUACCCGGGAUGAUAAUGACAGUACCGGGAGAAUAAGCUCCGGCUAACUCCGUG
rnacentral:rRNA from 1 species